rnacentral:lncRNA from 1 species
GGGCGUGGGUUCCUCUUCCUUGGAGCUAGGAUUUGGGUGAGAGAAAAAUCAAGAGAGAAAGAGUUCUCCCUUGCCUUCUUCCAUCAACCUCUUCUUCCUCCAUUGAUCAGCCACAAAGGGCCUCUGCAUGGAGCUAUCACUCCAGGGAGGUCGAUUUGAUCGUGCUUCGUGUGGAUACCUAUAAAAACUCGAUGCAUGUGCGGCUAGAAGCAAUAUACAACCCCUUGAUCUUCAGCUGC